rnacentral:rRNA from 1 species
CCCUGGUAGUCCACGCUGUAAACGAUGUCGACUUGGAGGUUGUGCCCUUGAGGCGUGGCUUCCGGAGCUAACGCGUUAAGUCGACCGCCUGGGGAGUACGGCCGCAAGGUUAAAACUCAAAUGAAUUGACGGGGGCCCGCACAAGCGGUGGAGCAUGUGGUUUAAUUCGAUGCAACGCGAAGAACCUUACCUACUCUUGACAUCCAGAGAACUUGGCAGAGAUGCUUUGGUGCCUUCGGGAACUCUGAGACAGGUGCUGCAUGGCUGUCGUCAGCUCGUGUUGUGAAAUGUUGGGUUAAGUCCCGCAACGAGCGCAACCCUUAUCCUUUGUUGCCAGCGCGUAAUGGCGGGAACUCAAAGGAGACUGCCGGUGAUAAACCGGAGGAAGGUGGGGAUGACGUCAAGUCAUCAUGGCCCUUACGAGUAGGGCUACACACGUGCUACAAUGGCGUAUACAAAGGGAAGCGACCCUGCGAAGGCAAGCGGAACUCAUAAAGUACGUCGUAGUCCGGAUUGGAGUCUGCAACUCGACUCCAUGAAGUCGGAAUCGCUAGUAAUCGUAGAUCAGAAUGCUACGGUGAAUACGUUCCCGGGCCUUGUACACACCGCCCG